UACGUAGGGCGCAAGCGUUGUCCGGAAUUAUUGGGCGUAAAGAGCUCGUAGGCGGUUUGUCGCGUCUGCUGUGAAAACCUAAGGCUCAACCUUGGGCUUGCAGUGGGUACGGGCAGACUAGAGUGCGGUAGGGGUGACUGGAAUUCCUGGUGUAGCGGUGGAAUGCGCAGAUAUCAGGAGGAACACCGAUGGCGAAGGCAGGUCACUGGGCCGCAACUGACGCUGAGGAGCGAAAGCAUGGGGAGCGGACAGG
rnacentral:rRNA from 1 species